rnacentral:lncRNA from 8 species
AUGGUAAUUUAUACCAUAACAUAUCCUCCUGCCCCCUAUCCAUCUUUAGUGCAACCGGAUUACGGAUCAAUUGAGCCAGGAUCACCAAGAUAUCCUGGCUUAAUCCCUUAUCCUAGUUUUGUGCAACAGGCCCCUGGUCUACAAUCGGGGAACCCAGCCCCGAGAAUUCCAGGUGGGAGACAGGGUGUUCCUGAGUUGGUCUUAAUCCCCACAGCCAAAAGUAAGUUACUGGCAACGUGGCACAGGCCAUACGAGGUGAUAGAGAAGCUAGGACCUGUCAAUUACCGCGUACGGCAGCCGGGGAGAUGGAAACCCCGACAGAUUUACCACGUGGACCUGUUGAAGAAGUGGCACAAGAGGACAGCCUUGGCCGUGUUAUGGUCGGGUCCCAGGACGCCAACGGUACCAGUGGUGGUCCUGAGCAAUCAGGACCUCGACCCGGCCCAGAAGCAAGAGCUCAGGAAGCUCGUUGAUCGGAACAUGGCGGUGUUCUCCGAGAAGCCGGUCCACACGACCCUCAUUGAACACCACAUCCGUACCCGUUCUGGGGAAACGGUACGAAAGAAUCCAUAUCGGAUUCCUGAGGCCCGAAGUAAGGGGGUCGUUGAAGAGUUCCACAGUGCAUGGUGCAGCCCCAUCAUGUUGGUGCCCAAACGGGACGGUAGCCUGCGCUUCUGUAAUGAUUUCCGGGGUGUGAACGACAUCAGCUUGUUCGACGCCUACCCCAUGCCAAGGGUGGACGAGCUCAUCGACCGAUUGGGAAAGGCCCGGUACAUCAGCACCCUUGACCUGAUUAAAGGAUAUUGGCAGGUACCGUUGGCAGCCUCCUCCCGGGGGAAGACGCCAUUUUCGACACCAGACGGACUAUAUCAGUACCGGGUGCUCCUGUUCAGUCUCCACAGAGCCCCGCCCACAUUCCAGCUCCUGAUGGACAAAGUACUUCGAUCCCACCAGCAGUACGCAGCGGCCUAUUUGGAUGAUAUCAUCAUCCACAGCCAAGGUUGA